rnacentral:rRNA from 1 species
GACGAACGCUGGCGGCGUGCUUAACACAUGCAAGUCGAGCGAUGAAUUUUCUUCGGAAAUGGAUUAGCGGCGAACGGGUGAGGAACACGUGAAGAAUCUGCCCUCCACUUUGGGAUAACACAGGGAAACCUGUGCUAAUACCGAAUAUUGAAACAUAAGUGGCAUCACUGAGUUUUGAAAGAAUUUCGGUGGAGGAUGACUUCGCGGCCUAUCAGCUAGUUGGUGAGGUAAUGGCUCACCAAGGCGACGACGGGUAGCCGGCCUGAGAGGGCGACCGGCCACACUGGGACUGAGACACGGCCCAGACUCCUACGGGAGGCAGCAGUGGGGAAUAUUGGGCAAUGGAGGAAACUCUGACCCAGCGACGCCGCGUGCGGGAUGAAGGCCUUCGGGUUGUAAACCGCUUUCAGCACCGACGAAGCGCAAGUGACGGUAGGUGCAGAAGAAGGACCGGCCAACUACGUGCCAGCCGCCGCCGUAA